rnacentral:rRNA from 1 species
CCAAUCGAACCCGGAGAUAGCUGGUUCUCCUCGAAAUAGCUUUAGGGCUAGCCUCAUAUUAGUCUUGCGGAGGUAGAGCACUGAAUAUCCUAGGGGGCGUCAAAGCUUACCGAAGAUUAUCAAACUCCGAAUGCCGUAAAGAUGAUGUAUGGGAGUCAGACUGCACGAGAUAAGUUGGGUAGUCAAAAGGGAAAGAGCCCAGACCUACAGCUAAGGUCCCAAAGUACGUGUUAAGUGGAAAAGGAUGUGGGAUUUCGAAGACAACUAGGAUGUUGGCUCAGAAGCAGCCAUACAUUCAAAGAGUGCGUAAUAGCUCACUAGUCGAGAGGUCCUGCGCCGAAAAUGUCCGGGGCUGAAACACGACACCGAAGCUUAGGAAUCGAAAGAUUGGUAGAGGAGCAUUGAAUACGGAACGAAGCAGUACCGGAAGGAGCUGUGGACUGUAUUGAAGAGAGAAUGCCGGAAUGAGUAGCGAGAUUUAAGUGAGAAUCUUAAAGGCCGAAUAUCUAAGGUUUCCAGGGUAAAGCUGAUCUUCCCUGGGUAAGUCGGGGCCUAAGGCGAGGACGAAAGUCGUAGUCGAUGGAUAACAGGUUGAAAUUCCUGUACCGCAUAUAUUCAGAAAUGUGGGGACACAGAUGGAGAGUACAGCCCGGGAAUGGAUAGACCGGGGCAAGCGAGGUAGGAGAAUGGCAGGCAAAUCCACCAUUCAAUCUGAAGACGUGACGCGUACCGAACAAGAGUAGGGAAGUGUAUGAGCCAGCUGUCGAGAAAAGCCGCUAUUGUGAUAUAUGCGCCCGUACCGUAAACCGACACAGGUGGAUGAGGAGAGAAUCCUAAGGCCGGCGGGAGAAGUGUUGUUAAGGAACUCGGCAAAAUGACCCCGUAACUUCGGGAGAAGGGGUGCCUCGGAAGAGGCCGCAGAGAAAUGGCCCAAGCAACUGUUUAGCAAAAACAUAGGUCUAUGCAAAACCGAAAGGUGAGGUAUAUGGGCUGACGCCUGCCCGGUGCUGGAAGGUUAAGAGGAGAGGUUAGCGCAAGCGAAGCUUUGAAUUUAAGCCCCAGUAAACGGCGGCCGUAACUAUAACGGUCCUAAGGUAGCGAAAUUCCUUGUCGGGUAAGUUCCGACCCGCACGAAAGGCGUAAUGAUUUGGGCACUGUCUCAACAACACACCCGGUGAAAUUGAAAUACCAGUGAAGAUGCUGGUUACCUGCGCCAGGACGGAAAGACCCCAUGGAGCUUUACUCCAGCUUGAUACUGGGAUUCGGUACUACCUGUACAGGAUAGGUGGGAGGCUAUGAUCACGGGACGCCAGUUUCGUGUGAGCCGCUGUUGGGAUACCACCCUUGUAGUACUGGAUUCCUAACCUACAGCCGUGAACCGGCUGGGGGACAAUGUCUGGCGGGGAGUUUGACUGGGGCGGUCGCCUCCGAAAGGGUAUCGGAGGCGCUCAAAGGUUCCCUCAGAAUGGUUGGAAACCAUUCGAAGAGUGCAAAGGCAGAAGGGAGCUUGACUGCGACACCGACGG